CCUACGGGAGGCAGCAGUGGGGAAUUUUGGACAAUGGGCGAAAGCCUGAUCCAGCCAUUCCGCGUGAGUGAAGAAGGCCUUCGGGUUGUAAAGCUCUUUCGCAAGGGAAGAAAACUUAGAUACUAAUAUUAUCUGAGGUUGACGGUACCUUGAUAAGAAGCACCGGCUAACUACGUGCCGGCAGCCGCGGUAAUACGUAGGGUGCGAGCGUUAAUCGGAAUUACUGGGCGUAAAGCGUGCGCAGGCGGUUUUGUAAGUCAGAUGUGAAAUCCCCGAGCUCAACUUGGGAACUGCGUUUGAAACUACAAGACUAGAAUAUGUCAGAGGGGGGUAGAAUUCCACGUGUAGCAGUGAAAUGCGUAGAGAUGUGGAGGAAUACCAAUGGCGAAGGCAGCCCCCUGGGAUAAUAUUGACGCUCAUGCACGAAAGCGUGGGGAGCAAACAGGAUUAGUAUACCUCGGUAGGUCCACGCCCUAAACCGAAUGUCUACUAGUUGUUGGUUGGAGUAAAAUACCAUGAGUAACGCAGCUAACGCGUGAAGUAGACCGCCUGGGGAGGUACGGUCGCGAGAGUAACUAACAAUAGUAGUAGUAGACGUGAGAGAGACGACGACGACGACGAGGAGGAGGAGG
rnacentral:rRNA from 1 species